UCAUAAAUGCCAGUCCUUUGCAAAUCUGUUAAAUUCUUGUAUUUGUCUUCAUCUUGAACUUGCUCAUUAUCUUGUUCCUCUUGCUCGACAUGCAUGUCUUGUUCUGGUGCUGAAUCAUACAUGGCUUCAUCUCGUUCUAAAUCAUCAAGCUCUUCUUCCUCAAACUGAAUCUCUAUGUCGCCUGCAUAUGCACCGUAGUCCUCCUGGUCAACUUCAAGGUUAUGUAGAGCUUCAUUCAUUGCUUGCACUUCCUCUUCUAUGCUCUGGAAAACACCACCUUGUUCUUCAAGAUCAUCGUCUACAAGAUCAGGAUUAGCUACUGCAUGCAAAAGAAUUAAACAAGAAGAGUUGAAUAGAUCAGCAAAGAGUACCUGGGUCCAUGUUUAGAUCAAAGUGAUGUUCGGGCUGGAGUUCCUCAUGCAAGGCAGCUUCAAGUUCAACAUCUACAAUAUCCUCUCCAUGGGCAACAUGGGGCUGAUGUUCAUCUUCUACCUCAAAGCACCAUCAUGAUUAGCUACUGUAUGCAAAAGAAUUGAACAAGAAGAAUUGAACAGAUCAACAAAGAGUACCUAGGUCCAUGUUUAGAUCAAAGUGGUGUUCAAGCUGGAGUUCAUCAUGCAAGGCAGCCUCAUCUUCUUCCUGUAGAGGUUGCUCAUGCAAGGCAGCUUCAUGUUCUUCCUCAUUUCGUGCUGCUAUGUUCAAGUACAUGGCCAUGGAUAGUGUGUGUGGUGUACUGUUUGCUUCAUGUGAGCUACCUUUUGUAGCUGGAUUAGACGCUUGGGUUCUAAUUUCUCUGGCGCCAAGUAGUACUAUUGUUACUUUAGUAGUUUAAAUGGCGGGAACAGUGAAAGUGGAGCUCAACUCUCUGGCGCCAAGUACUUUCUGG
rnacentral:rRNA from 1 species